rnacentral:rRNA from 1 species
GCACCUACCGAUUGAAUGUUUCGGUGAAGAUUCCGGACCGUGGCUCGCGUGCUUCACGGCGCUCCUGCCGUGGGAAGUUAUCUAAACCUCAACAUUUAGAGGAAGGUGAAGUCGUAACAAGGUUUCCGUAGGUGAACCUGCGGAAGGAUCAUUA